GACGAACGCUGGCGGCGUGCCUAAUACAUGCAAGUAGAACGCUGAAGGAGGAGCUUGCUCUUCUGGAUGAGUUGCGAACGGGUGAGUAACGCGUAGGUAACCUGCCUGGUAGCGGGGGAUAACUAUUGGAAACGAUAGCUAAUACCGCAUAAAAUUGAUUAUUGCAUGAUAGUCAAUUAAAAGGUGCAAUUGCAUCACUACCAGAUGGACCUGCGUUGUAUUAGCUAGUUGGUGAGGUAACGGCUCACCAAGGCAACGAUACAUAGCCGACCUGAGAGGGUGAUCGGCCAGACUGGGACUGAGACACGGCCCAGACUCCUACGGGAGGCAGCAGUAGGGAAUCUUCGGCAAUGGACGGAAGUCUGACCGAGCAACGCCGCGUGAGUGAAGAAGGGUUUCGGAUCGUAAAGCUCUGUUGUAAGAGAAGAACGAGUGUGAGAGUGGAAAGUUCACACUGUGACGGUAUCUUACCAGAAAGGGACGGCUAACUACGUG
rnacentral:rRNA from 1 species